rnacentral:rRNA from 1 species
UGUGGGGGAUUAGUGGCGAACGGGUGAGUAACACGUGAGUACCCUGCCCUUAACUCUGGGAUAAGCCUGGGAAACUGGGUCUAAUACCGGAUAUGACUUCCCAUCGCAUGGUGGGGGGUGAAAAGCUUUUUGUGGUUUUGGAUGGACUCGCGGCCUAUCAGCUUGUUGGUGAGGUAAUGGCUCACCAAGGCGACGACGGGUAGCCGGCCUGAGAGGGUGACCGGCCACACUGGGACUGAGACACGGCCCAGACUCCUACGGGAGGCAGCAGUGGGGAAUAUUGCACAAUGGGCGCAAGCCUGAUGCAGCGACGCCGCGUGAGGGAUGACGGCCUUCGGGUUGUAAACCUCUUUCAGUAGGGAAGAAGCGAAAGUGACGGUACCUGCAGAAGAAGCGCCGGCUAACUA